AUGACUGCUAUCGGAUUGGUAGUAGUCCAUGGGAGUCAUUGUAGCAAUACAAGGCGUACGCAUCAGUAACACGUAGUCAACCUAACUCGUGGAUGUGGAUAACCUCGGGCAACUGAGAAUCAUCCACGAUAGAUCAUAUUGCCUAGAAUGCCUUAUGCUCCAAACAGUUUCCUGCCAUCGGAUGGGAUUGCGGCUUAUCAGCUUAUUGGUGAGGUAAUGGCCCAUCAAGGCGAUUACAGGUACUGGCUCUGAGAGGAGUAGCCCCGAGAUGGGUACUGAGACACGGACCCAGGCCCUAUGGGGCGCAGCAGGCGAGAAACCUUAGCAAUGUCCGAAAGCACGACUGGGUCAGUCCGAGUGAUUCAUCAUAAAGGAGUCUUUUGCCUGUCCUAAAAGCACAGGUGAAUAAGGGGUGGGCAAGUCUCGUGUCAGCCGCCGCGGUAAUACCAGCACCUCGAGUGGUCAGGACGUUUAUUGGGCCUAAAGCAUCCGUAGCCGCCUCUGCAAGUCUUCGGUUAAAUCCACCUGCUCAACAGAUGGGCCGCUGGAGAUACUACAUAGCUAGGGAGUGGGAGAGGCAGACGGUAUUCAGUGGGUAGGGGUAAAAUCCUCUGAUCCAUUGAGGGCCACCAGUGGUGAAGCCGGUCUGCCAGAACACGUUCGACGGUGAGGGAUGAAAGUUGGGGGAGCAAACCGGAUUAGAUACGCCGGGUAGUCCCAGCUGUAAACGAUGCAAACUCGGUGAUGCAUUGGCUUAUGGCCAAUGCAGUGCCGCAGGGAAGCCGUUAAGUUUGCCGCCUGGGAAGUACGGACGCAAGUCUGAAACUUAAAGGAAU
rnacentral:rRNA from 1 species